ensembl:lncRNA
GCGGGCGGAGGACGCACCAGGUGCCUCUCCAUCUGCACCGCUUUAGGUGGAGAGAUAAACGUCAACUGGGCUGCAAUGCGGGACGCCGGAUUGGACAGCAGGACGCCUCCGUUUCCUCCGUUUGCCGUCCCGCUUCCUGUCAUCUGCGUCUGUUUGGUUCCGCUCCGCAUUUUCCCGGCUCGGCCCGUUUUGUUAGUCUGGUGUCGAUGAUUAGCGUUAGUGCCGCCGCUGUUACCCUUGGCGUUCUCUUUCUCCAUGCGAGUCCGCCCGUUCCGCGACACUUCCUGUCCGUUGCUGCGUUUUGACACGCCCUCUGAAUAGGCGUGGCCGAUUGAAGCCUGGUGCUGACUGGAAGAAAGGGCUGACGGAGAAGGCGGGGUCAGCAGCCCGGGUUUCCUGUUUUCUCCCCGCCGCCGGCUGCGUCCUCAUCAUCCAUCUCGGUCACCGCAGCCGAUUUGCGUCCCCUCGGAGUGUUUUCGGAUUUCCGGCUGCGCUGCUGCUGCUGUUGUUGUUGUUGUUGUUGUUGUGGAGUUUCCUCUGACGUCACUUCCUGUUCCUGUUCGUUUCCCGUCCUCUCGCCUUCAGAGUCGUCGCUGGCGCUGAAGCCCAGUUCAGCCAGACGCCGGUUUCUCUCUCGCUCGCGCUCUUUCUCACGCUCUUUCUCGCGUUCUUUCUCGCGCUCUCUCUCUCGGGAGUUGUACGCCGUUGCCGGGGACGACGGUUCAGAAGCGCCGCCCGGAGACGCCGAAUCCGAGUCAGAAUCGGAAUCCGAGUCCGACUCAGAGCUGGAGGAAGAAGAGGAAGAGGAGGAGGAGUCUCUGGUGCGCUCCAGCAGCUGGCACAUGCGCUUGAAGCGCUCCAGUUUCUCGCGGGUGGUGAGAGCGCUGGUCCUGGUUGGAGGUCGAAGAUGGAGGCUGCGCCGCUGAGCCUACACCGGCUGACCCUUGACCCCCGGAGGAGGAGUUUGGCCCGUUGGUCUCAGCCGAGUCGGAAGAGUUCGGCUUCUGCUUCUGCUGCAGAAAAAACAAAGUCGAGGUUCAGCGUCCAAGGUUUUGCACUGAGCUACCAGGCUAAUGUAGCUAACGAGCUAAUGUAGCUAAUGGGCAAUGCACUCUUAUAGCCACCAGUUUAGCAUCAUGUCAUUAUCACAGAAUUAAAACCAAUCUCAAGUAGAUGCUGCUGCAACUCGUACCUUUUUCAGAUGUUUUUCCCGAGCGCCUUUCAUCUGUACAGAUAGAAACAUUGCAUCACCGUGAGGCACCGCCCACUUCCUGUUUAUGAUGUGAUCACAUGGUACACACUCACGCUAGCAGGCACUGAAUGUUAAACUCUCUAACCUUCUUCUUGGGCCCGCUCUCCUGAGACUGCUCCUUCUCCUUCUUGCGUUUCUGCCCGUCCUGGCGCGUCUCCUCGGCAGACGGAGGUUUCUUUUUGCUGGGCGGUGGCUCGUCUGUGAUCUUCCACCGGCCCACCUCGCCGUUAUCCAGCCGCCUCUUCCCCAAACCGUCUCCAUCCUGAGGGAUAAAACACCAGAGGAACUGAGCGAGAAGCAGGAGCUGUCCAUACUGCUGCAGAGUGUUGAUGUAUUUACUGUAGCGCGUGCGGAGGUGGAGGUGGUGGAGGAGGAGGAGGAGGAGGAGGAGGAGUUUAAAUCCUCACCUUACUGGUUUUCCCCUCCUUGUGGCAUUUGG